CAAGUCGAGCGAACAGACGAGGAGCUUGCUCCUCUGACGUUAGCGGCGGACGGGUGAGUAACACGUGGAUAACCUACCUAUAAGACUGGGAUAACUUCGGGAAACCGGAGCUAAUACCGGAUAAUAUAUUGAACCGCAUGGUUCAAUAGUGAAAGACGGUUUUGCUGUCACUUAUAGAUGGAUCCGCGCCGCAUUAGCUAGUUGGUAAGGUAACGGCUUACCAAGGCGACGAUGCGUAGCCGACCUGAGAGGGUGAUCGGCCACACUGGAACUGAGACACGGUCCAGACUCCUACGGGAGGCAGCAGUAGGGAAUCUUCCGCAAUGGGCGAAAGCCUGACGGAGCAACGCCGCGUGAGUGAUGAAGGUCUUCGGAUCGUAAAACUCUGUUAUUAGGGAAGAACAAAUGUGUAAGUAACUAUGCACGUCUUGACGGUACCUAAUCAGAAAGCCACGGCUAACUACGUGCCAGCAGCCGCGGUAAUACGUAGGUGGCAAGCGUUAUCCGGAAUUAUUGGGCGUAAAGCGCGCGUAGGCGGUUUUUUAAGUCUGAUGUGAAAGCCCACGGCUCAACCGUGGAGGGUCAUUGGAAACUGGAAAACUUGAGUGCAGAAGAGGAAAGUGGAAUUCCAUGUGUAGCGGUGAAAUGCGCAGAGAUAUGGAGGUACACCAGUGGCGAAGGCGACUUUCUGGUCUGUAAC
rnacentral:rRNA from 1 species